rnacentral:sRNA from 1 species
ACGCCCUGCCCAACAGAGGCCACAGUCCCCUGGGGUCUGGAGACGCAGUUUCCUGUUAAUGACAAUAAAUCCCUGCUCCCCCUGCCUCAGACAUCUACGCAGCGAAAUCGAGCCUGGCCUUGAGGGACCACACCGCGAGGGAAGAUGCGUGCGCCCAUUACACUGGGCCAUCUACGUUGGCGAUGGAUAUGUGGUUCAUCUGGCCCCUCCAAGUGAGGUCGCAGGAGCUGGUGCAGCCAGUGUCAUGUCCGCCCUGACUGACAAGGCCAUCGUGAAGAAGGAAUUGCUGUAUGACGUGGCCGGGAGUGACAAGUACCAAGUCAACAACAAACACGAUGACAAGUACUCGCCGCUGCCCUGCAGCAAAAUCAUCCAGCGGGCGGAGGAGCUGGUGGGGCAGGAGGUGCUCUACAAGCUGACCAGCGAGAACUGCGAGCACUUUGUGAAUGAGCUGCGCUAUGGAGUCGCCCGCAGUGACCAGGUCAGAGAUGUCAUCAUCGCUGCAAGCGUUGCAGGAAUGGGCUUGGCAGCCAUGAGCCUUAUUGGAGUCAUGUUCUCAAGAAACAAGCGACAAAAGCAAUAACUGAAAAAGACUGUCCUGUCAGCGAUGACUUUAUACAUCAAGGGGGUCUUGUUUUGCUAGACAGUUUGGGGUUUGGUUUGUGGAUUUCAUUGUGA